rnacentral:lncRNA from 1 species
AUGACUGUAUAUUUACACUACCUAUUUUUCAACUCAGCUUCAUUCAUAAAUCCUGAGAUGAAAAAUAUCUUGUCGGGCAAGUUAUGGCGACUAUGCUAUUGGCUAUGCACAGCUGAAGAGAGAGGGAAAUGUGUGCAGAAUAACAGCUUAAGGAAGCCAAAGACUAGCUUAAGGAAAGAGCCUUACAUUGUAAAAUGUGACAUGAAUGAGAAUGAAGACAAGAUUCUCACUGCUAAAUGCAAUUCUUGUGUUGCAAAGGAGGACACCUGUAAGCAUGCAAUUGCAUUUCUAGCCUGGCUGGAACGCAAAGCUGCUGAGCCAGCACCAACGUCAGUGCAAUGCUACUGGGAAACGCCUGCACUGGCAAAAGUCGCAACUUCGACCAAGGUUGUCAAGACUAGCAACAAUUUUGGCAAAUCUAACUUCUUCCUCAGAGAGUGGUUCACCGACAGUGGCACUUGGGGGCCUGACCAGGCGGCACUGUCUCUUCACCAACUCACCCUCUAUGUGCUUAAAACCACGGUCCGCCAUCAGAACCGUGCCUGGCUUAAUAAUUUCUAAAAGGCCACAACUCUCUACUAUUUUCUGAUCACUCAUUCGUCCUGCAUAGCCUCCUGACACAAAAUUGAUCAAUCCAUUUGGGGUUGCACAAACUAAAUAUUUUACAGUGUUGCAGUUUUUAUAAGAGCUCCAAGUUUGAGCUUGGUGCAACGCAUUGCUCGGCUUCUCAAUUUCCGUCUCGAAGCAAUCAAUUAUGCCUUGUACAUCUGCGUAGUUUGCUCUGAAGGCAAUAGGCAAAUUUGCUUUAAUUACGUCAGGAUUGGGCCAGUGCACAAAUUGCUUAACAUAGGUAGAAAUAAGAGGAGUUGCUCUUCGAAAUAUCCUAGAAACUGAAGUGCGGUCUAGGCCAAACGUUACUGCCAAGUUAUCAAGACUCUCAUUCAACUUGAUCUUCCAGAGGACUACAAAUAUUUCUAAUUUUGAACACUUGGUGUGUUUUUCUAAAACUGAUACUACUAGUAAAGUUUCCGAAGAAAGGCCAAGGUAGAUAUGGGGAUACUUUUCCAUGGUUUUCAUGCUCACUCUUUGUCUCUCAAAAUUUUCAAAUGCUUCUAUGUAUUCCUUGGACUCUUGGGAAUGGUGAGAUGGAUUUUCUUCUGUGGUUGUCGAGGAUGGAAGGUUACAUUGGGAGAAAUGAACAAAAUCACCAAAAACUUUCUUCGCUCUCUUCUCUUCCCUAGUUUUGCUGAUGAAGUGGAGGGAACUGGUGGCUGUACAGUAACUUCUUCAGGCUAAAAUUUUAAAUAAAAAAUAGGGUUUAAUUUCACUUUUUAAACGUCCUUUCAUGAGUUACUUUUUAUCAAAAAAUUCUUGCUUUUCCGAAUUUUUUUAAGAAUAUUUGCUCAACAUUCAAUCUUGCAAUUACUAAAGUGUAUGCAUAUGUUUUGCACUUAUAUAAAAUCAUAAGAAUUAUUUGUAAUUCAUAACACCUGAGGCACGAGGCAGUCAGAUAGUGUACCUACUGGUUGCAUCUAUAACUAAGUAAAUGAUCAUUAAAUUUUAUUGCCAAAUUUGGCUAGCUAAGCUGUUUAUAAAACAUGAUUACUGAUUAAAAAUCGAGCUAAAAGCCAAAAUAAAGAAAUAAUAUAAUGAUGAAAGUUCAAACUACAUGUACUUGAGAGAAAAAUAAACAUACAAAAAGUUCAAUUUCUUCUCCUCUACAUGUAGUUUGAAAUUUUAUAUUAUUAUUUAUUUAUCUAUCUAGUGAUCUAUUUAUUUAUUUAUGUUGGCUUGUAGUUUGAUUUUUUAAUCAAUAAUUGUGUUAAAUGAUCAUAGUUGUAUGUUAAUAUCCUUCAACUUUUCAUUCCUCUACCUCAUUUGAUAUCUGCUUGCAAACUCUUCAGCAAUUUACAGUGGCUUCAAUGAGCUGCUCAACAAGUAUUGCGUGAAUAUAUUAAAGAACUUAUCAAGCUGUAUGCUCCUGCUAAAAAUUAUUGUGCAUAGCAAGGAUUUCAUCCGACAAAGAGUCCGAAAUCAAUUUCGAAGCGAGAUUUUAACAUGAGCAUGAAACACUGAUCAAAUGAGACACAAUCAUACAAAUGACAUGAUUUGUAUUUUUGAUAUUUGAGAAAUGUUUUGAUUACUUAUUUAUGAUAACUUGCAACUUCUUUCGGAGUUAUUUGUAGAACUAAAAAAAUGUAUGUAUGUUUGUGUAAAUCAAUUUUGAUGGAAAAUUUUGAAAACGAAAUAGGUGACACAGUGCUAUAGUUUGUACCUUGUCUAGAGCACCAUAUGAAAAAAACGCAGAUUUUCUGAGCGAGGAUCAGUGAAGUAUUCUCACCAUUCAAACUGUCAGCUUUUGAACUUCUAUCAGAAAUUUGAGGCAAUUUUUUAGGAUGGACACUUUAAAAUAGAUAUCAUAAAAAUCAACAGAAGCUGCUGACCCUUUACAUUAGAAUGACAGAGUAAAGUAAAAUGUGCUUGGGUACUAUCUAAAUCUGCUAUAAUUUUCUGAUAAGUUUCCUUUCAUAAUAGAUCAUGGUCAUCUAGUCGCUCCAAAACUUUUGAUAACACCUCCCACAUGGUCAAUUUUUCAUCAAAUUUAAAUCACGUAAUUGGACAUUAGUUUGCUUUAAAUCGUAGUUUCAUAAUUAAAACUUUCUUGACAGAGCGAAUAAAAUUGUUUCCUAUUUGUGUUAUUUCGGGGUAAAAAAAGCCUGAUCUUAAUUACCUGAAGAGAAGGCUGGUGGGUGGUCUUAUCAAUGGUCAACGCUCUAUAAGCACUGCACAAUCCUUUAUACAUCCACAUAAUGAGCACGGUUUUUGUUCAAUAUUAGAAGGCUAAAACAUUAAACAAUUGAAAAAUUUGUUAAAGCUAGUUAAUUAAGAUUGGCAUCUUGGCAAAAAUUACCCUGUCAAAUAUGAAAUAUGUAGGCUGCAAUGAGCUCAAGAGAAACCAAAAUUAUGAUGGUUUGAAGUUUAUAAAACAGUUUGGAGAAGAAAAAUAUUUGAAGUGAUCAUCCACCAUGUUCAGAGCUUAAAAUUGUUGAAUUAAAAUGCAACAUUACCAUAUAGUAUAAAAGUCUCAGAACUUCUUCUUUGGAAUACUGGAGUUGGUCUUACUGAAAAUCAACCUUCAGUUUUAUAAUUCAACUUCAGAAAAAUUCUCUCCUAAAUAAAUUUUCUCAGUUACUUAACGACUACGUAAUAAGACACAAAAUUUUAUUCCAAUUCCUUAUCCGCCAUCCUGCACCAUACAAUAGUUUUAUGAAAUAAGCAAUCGACCUCUUUCAAUUUUCCUCCUUUUUUUGCAGUACAAUGAAAAGUGUCGCAAUCAGAGUUGGAGAAAGAGAAGUCGAUCUUUUGAUUCGAGAAUACUUAAAAUUUGCUAGGCCAUUAAAGAAUACACAUGUUUAAUAGCGAUUAAAGUCGUGUUGGAAAGGGGAAUACAAUUCAAUACCUGUUGCUGAUGACUAACUCUGGCCACUGAAUCAUGGCUGCACGUGGACGUACUUGCUGCAAACAGCUGCUGAUGGCUGGCUUUAGCCACUGGUUUAUGGCAGCAUGUAGAUGCACUUGUUGCAUUCAGCUGUUGAUGACUAGCUUCUAUCUCUGUUUCAUCACUGAAAUUAGAUAUUCUUGGAGAGUUGGGCCGAUCAUGGAUUCGUAAAAUCUGGAGAUAAAAAGGAAAAAGGAAACAAUUAAGGUUUUAUUGUCAGGGUGAAUCAUUUUAUAAGGCUGCUGUCAUUUUAAAAAAUUAAGGCUGAAAAUAAUAAAACGAGAUAUUAUAUUUUUAAUGUGUUUGGUUUGCUGCGGGCUGAAUGAAAUGUAUGUUACAUUUUUUCAAAAGAUUUUGCUGAAAUGCAAAAUCUUAAUGAGGCUGAUGUCACCAAAUUACAGUCGCAAAUUUAGAGCUAAUUUGUAUCCUUUUUUGCUUUUAAUAUUAAUUACAAAACAAUCAUAAACGCGUCACAGGAGUUCCUUGAAUCAGAAAGCUCUGCUUAAAUGAAUAACAACUAAUGCCUUUGUUUCUGUAAACAUACCUACUGGUCAGUUGCUCACCAAAACUAGUUUCUUGAAUCUUGAAUCAUGUAGAGCAAUACUUCAUUUUGCUGGGCUUGUAUAGUCAUAUAUUUGUGUAUAUUUUGUCAUAUGUAAAUUUUGCCG